GAACAGUAUUAAAUGACUGCACAGGAGAGCAUACUUCACACUCCAAAAAUUUUCAUGAGCUCAAAGACAGUAUUAGCAGCCUUUCUUUUUGGGUCUUCCAGAGACAUGCUGCCUGCUUAAACAUGGUGGGACCAAACCAGCUCUGUCCUCCUUGUACUGCACACAGGCGGUGCUGCUUACUGCUGAUGGAAAAUAACACAUCCUACAAGUAGGGUCUUCCACAAUGGCAAGUCCAAGAGACGAGGGCUGAGAUUUUUAUAGCUGGACAUUCAUGUCAGAGGAGAAGAGGAGAAAGGCAAUUUCUCUGCUUGGAGUAGGAACCAGCCCAUCUUUCCUUUUGCCAUCCCUAGAACUGGGCCAGAUCCUCAGUAAAUACAAAAAGGUUGAGCAUCCCCAAAAUCAAUGA
rnacentral:lncRNA from 1 species